UACGUAGGGUGCGAGCGUUAAUCGGAAUUACUGGGCGUAAAGCGUGCGCAGGCGGUUUUGUAAGCCAGAUGUGAAAUCCCCGGGCUUAACCUGGGAAUGGCAUUUGGGACUGCAAGGCUUGAGUGCGGCAGAGGAGACUGGAAUUCCUGGUGUAGCAGUGAAAUGCGUAGAUAUCAGGAGGAACACCGAUGGCGAAGGCAGGUCUCUGGGCUGACACUGACGCUCAUGCACGAAAGCUAGGGGAGCGAACAGG
rnacentral:rRNA from 1 species